UGUUUGUCUUUCUCUUUCUGACUUUAUUUGGUGUGAGAAUCUCUAGUUGCAUCCAUGUUGCUGCAAAUGGCAUUAUUUUGUUCUUUUUUAAUGGCUGACUAGUAUUCCAUUGUAUGUAUACAUGUACUCAUCUUUUUAAUCCAUUCGUCUUUCGGUGGAGAUCUAGGCUGUUCCCAUGUCUUGGCUCUUAUAAAUAGUGCUGCAAUGAACAUAAGCAUGCAUGUAUCUUUUUGAAUUAUAUCUUUUUCUGGAUAUUUGCUUAGGAAUGGGACUGCUGUAUCAUAUGGUAAUUCCAUACUUAGUUUUCUGAAGAACGUUUAUUCUGUUCUCUAUAGUGGCUGUACCAAUUUACAUUCCCACCAAAUGUAGGAGGGUAGGAGGGUUCCUUUUUCUCCAGCAUUUGUUAUUUGUAGACUUAUUAAUGAUGGCCAUUCUGACUGAUGUGAGUUGGUACCUCAUUGUAGUUUUGAUUUGCAUUUCUCUAGUAAUUAGUGAUGUUGAACAUCUUUUCAUGGGCCUAGUGGCCAUCUGUAUGUCUUCUUUUGAGAAAUUCUAGUUUAGGUUUUCUGCCCAUUUUUCAACUGAGCUGCUUGGUUUUUUUUGUUGUUGUUGAGUUGUUUGUAUAUUUUGGAAAUUAAGCCAUGUCUGUAAUUUUUAUAGAGCAAACAUCUUACCAGACAUUGAAAUUGAAUAAUUAUAAAUAAUCAUCAUCCUUCUGGACUUUUAGUUUAAAAAUUAUAAAGGAAGAAAAAUAUACUUUGCAUUUUAAAAUUAUUUAGGAAUAAGAUUUCUUCCUAUGAUGGAUAUUUCUACAGUUUUUAUAUAUUUUAGCUAUAUCUGAUUAAUUCCUUUUCAAAAGUAUUCUUUUCUAUUAUACAAGAAAAAUGUUAGAAAGCAUGAAUUAUCUUAAGUUAAUGGAGCCCUGAAAGGGAAUACCCAAAUGUAAUGCUUGUCUAGGAAGCAUCCAGUUAAGGGCAGGGCGCUCAGCCAUACUGUACCAGCCACAACUCCAGACAAAUCUGUCCUUUUUCUAUCUUCAUGGAAGGAAUCCCACAUUAUAACCUUGGGGCUACAAUAUUGUUGUUGCACCUAUGAACUAGUGUAAUUGCAUGCCUUCCAAAAUGCACUAAUUUCUUCAUGCCAAUUUCCAGAUGGAAGUUUAACUGGCCAAUAGGAUUUCCUUUGGAAAUGCUGAGAGGUCAGAAUAGUGAAAAUGGAAUAAACAUGAAAUAGUCAAAGUAGAGAGCCUUACUGAGGAGUAAUUUUUCUUAAAAAUCAUUUAAUAUCUGCUGCUGUAACAAAAGAGUGCUUGAAAAUAAGUAAAAGAAACAAUCCUGAAAUAAGGGUUUUGACUAAUGAGGGUGAAUCAUCAUGCAACAGUUUACCUGUGUUCUAUCCUUUUUUUUUUUUUUUUACUUGCAGCCACACAUAUUAAGAAAACAUCUCCUACUCUAGCAUUAUAGAGUAGAGAGAAGUUCUAGGAUUCCUUGACAUUUGAAAUAAAUUACACAUCUGCACACAAACAGUCACAUACACAUAUAUGUACACAGGCACCAGGAAGUUGAAACUAUUUAACUAAGUUUUAAAAUUAGAUUAAAAGUGUCAUUAAGGAAAUCAUAAUAUAUUGAAAAGAACCCCCGUAUUAGACAUUACAAAACUUACAUUAAUUUCGGCAUUGUUAUUUUCUAGGUGUAUAACCUUUGUUAUUCCAUGAUUCAGUAACCUCUUGAUUUCCAUUUCCUUAUCAGCCAAAUAAAGAAGUUGAACUAACUUAUUUGUAGAAUCUCUUCAAUUACAUAUUGAAAUCCUAUCAAUCUGGUCCCUUUUCCUGUUUGUGUCAACCAGGUAAAUGCUUCUUAUCUAAGAAAAAUCUGCAUAAAUGGGAGUAGAUUCAAAUCCACUGAAGAACUAUAUAUAAAGUUAUACAUACACCUGCUAACAUUUCUAUUUGUUCUAGUGUUUUUCUUCUUUGUGAAAUGCCAUUAAAAAUAAUAAAGGAUCUUUUGAGACAGAUUUUCAUGGAAGUUAUUCAUUUUGUAAAAUAUAAACUAAAAUGUAGAUUUAAGCAAGAUGAUUUUGCUGAAGGGCGAGGUAGUUGCCGAGAGACUGGGUAUGGGUAUUAAGCAAUAAUAAUUGUUACUGUUUGAAACUAUCUACAAAAAGCACUAGUAACUACUGUUGCUUGUAUGAUUAAGAAAGCAUGGAAAAAGAAAUUAAAAGGGAGGUGUGAGAUUCAUGGUGACAGUUUUGAAGUGUUUAAUUCAUAUUUUUAAAAUGCCAUUUCUGGUAAAAAUGGAGCUAUCUCAGAUAAUUGGCAAACAUCAGAACUAGCCCCUUCAGCAUUUUUCUAAGCUGAAAUUUGCUUUGACAUCAAAGAGUAGACUUUUUUUUUAGUAAGUGAAAAACAUUUAUGCAUAGGGCUGACAUGGAAUUAAUCAAACUGGAAGGUCUGGGAUAUUUCCAUCACCAAUAAGUGCAUUUAUAAUUUCUUCUUUCAGUUCAGGACGAGGAAUAUGUUUUUCCAGUUCCCUCAUUUGUCCUCUUUGCUUGGGGGAAGCUAAUUCAGGUCUGUUGUCUAUUGGAGGAAUUCUGUCAUCUCUCACUCAGAAUAUGAAAACUUUGGCACAGGACUUUAUGGGGCAGACCCUUACGCCAGAAGAGAGAGGUCAUCAUCUCAAUGUCUUGACGUCAUACUCUCUGUGACGUCCUCUUUAUCUGCAUUUGUUAACUUUCAAGCUCCUUCCAGGAGAAGUCUUAAUUGGCCUCCAUUUUCAUUUCUUAAUUCAAGUGAUUGGAAUUUGCCUGAAAAAGUAAAAUUUUGAAAAUAAAGUCAGAAACUCUGUGCUAGCGAGUUUCCUGUUGGCCUGGAGGUUAAGGACUCAGCAUUGUCACUGCUGUGGUGCCAAUUUCCUCCCUGGCCUGGAAACUUUGCAUGCCACGAGCAUAGCCAAAAUACAAAAAUACGAAACAAGAAACUCCGUGCUGUAUGUUCUACAAGGUUUUUAAAUCAUCUCAACAAAUGCAAAGUGUUUCGUGUGUAUCUCUCCUCAGGAUAUAAUGCAUGAGUUCAGUAAAGUUGGCAGCUCUAGGUAGGUCUUUAUUGAGAUCUCAAAACUUUCUUUUUUUUGGGGUGUUUUAAUGUAGAUAAAAUUCCAUUUUCUGUAUAGAAAUAUUAAAUGAUAAUUCAGACAAGUUUUUUCUCCAUGAAUUUAAACCAAACUACAAAAAUCAGUAUUCAAAUCUUUUUUCUUUAGGUUAAGCAUUUAGUCCCAUGCAGAAAAAAAAUCUCUAAAAUUUUUUUUACUGUUUUAAUUAUUUUCAUAUGUAAAACAUCAUAAAGCUAUGGAAAGCAAUCACAUUUUCUUGCAUUAUUAACAUUAUUCAUGGGUUUAACAUUGCCUAAAUAACUCUCGAAUAGUCACUGCGAAAAAUCUAUUUAUAUCCCUUAAAUAAUGAGGAAGAAUGUUUUUUCUGAAACAUUUACUUAGUGUUUUAGAAUACAAGCAUUUUACUUCAGUAAUAUUACAGUUAUAAGAAAUAUACAUAAUUUCAUCUAAUUUCUUAAUAUAAUGAUUCUAGCACUUUAUAUGAAUUGUUUUCUGACUAAAUAACUUUUUGAUUAUGUUAUUUAAAGACAAUAAAGGAUCGAAGACAAUAAGUAUAUACAAUAAUGUUUCUUAGUAAUGAGCAUAAAAUUACAUAAUCAAUAAGCAUUCAGUUGUAAUCUUAUUACUAGAGAUUAAGUUUGUAAAGUAUGUCAUCUAUGUAGUCAUUUAAUAUAACUCAGGAUAAACAAUAUUAAUUAUUUAGGCAAGUGCUGGUGAUUCCUAUAUAAAUUAACACGCAAUUUAAAGUGAUUAGAGUUAUAUGGUUUUGACAUAGCAUUAUCAAAUUUGAGAAAUAAAACCAGGAGAGAAUUAUGAAGCCCAAGGAGUUUUGUGGCGUCUAGAUUUUCUGUUCAUGGUAUGUGUGAAUGAGUUUCUGGUGUUAGAUUUUCUUCCAGUUCCCCAUGUCGUUCUUCCUCAUCCUCUUUUAGAGACACAUUGAUUUGCACUAGUCUACUGGACAUUAUGAAGUUCUCCAGGAUUACCCUUCUUCUCAUAAAGAGAAGUGGACAUGAAGACAGGAGAAUAUAAUCAUGAAAGUGGAUUCCUCAUCAGAAUUGCCUAUGCUUCCAGGUAUUGGGAGCUGACAUUAGGAGGAAAGCCAGGGAAAGCCAGGGGAACACAAGCAGGGCUAAUCAGCAAUGACAGGAAUGUCUUUCUUCAGGUGAAAGUACUCAGUGAAGAAGCUUGUGGUGGAAAAAGAAAAAAAUAUAUGCACCCAAGGAGAAUGACAAUGUCUGAGAUGAAUCAUUCAUAACCUGGUGAACUGCUGCUGAGAUCCUCAUUUUACCAAAUUAAGUUAUACAAACAUGGCAGCAGAUCUUUCAUUGAGUGAAAGAUCUCAAUGCAAGGAUGAAAACAUAAUCAAAAGUCACCAAAUAUUAAUGAAAAGCCAGAACAAAGAAAGAAUGUAAAUCUUACUAAAAGCAAUAGCUUACACCCAAGGAAACAAUUAUUAGGAAGAUAAGAACAAGAUUUUAAAAUAUUAAGGAGAAGUCUUAUUUUCAACGAAUACACAUUCAAUGAAAAAUAAAUAACAAAUAGUAUUAUAUGGAGCAAAUAAUUGUUUGAAAACUUUAUUCAAUUCAUACCUUGUGUCAUAUAAGAAUAAUUAACACAAAGUGGAUCAUAGAUUUAAAUGUAAAAUCUAAGCCAUAAGAAUACAGAGAAGAAAAGCAUGUGAUUUUCAGCUAUGCAAAUAUUUCUUAGGUGUGAUACCACAAGCAGAAACCAUAGAGGAAACAAAUUGCUAAUUUGGAUUUUGUCAAGUAUAUGAGCAUCUGCUCUUUGAAGUACUCUAAGGUAAUUAAGUACAAGUUAUAGAAAAAAACCGAUUGCAUAUCUACGAAUCAAAAACUGAUUAAAGGACUAGCAUUCAGAAUAUAGUGCUCUCAAAACUCAUUAAGAAUAACAACCCAAGAAUGGAAAAUGAUUUGAAAAUGCACUUACUAAAAAAAGAUCUUUAGGUCAUAAACAAGUGUAUAAAUAGAUGCUGAACAUCAUAAGUCAUUAUAAAAAUAUAAAUUAAAACCACAAUGAGAAACUGACAUUGCCAAGAGCUAACAAGGAUGUGGAGCAACUAGAACUUCUAUAUAUUGCUGAUGGGAAUGUAAAAUGAGACAAACACUUUGGAAAACAUUCAACAGUUCUUAGAAAGUUAAACAUACAGUUACCAUACAACUUGGCAAUCUCCAUCCUAUGCACUUCCCAAGGAGAAAUUAAGAAUUAUGUUCACACAAACUCCUGCACCAAAGACGUUGAUGGAAGUUUAAUCAUACUAGACAAACUGUUAACAAUUUCCAGCGUUCCUUAAUUGGGGACCGAGUAAACAAGCCAUUUAUAUACAUUUGAUGAACUACUACUCAGCAAUAAAAA
rnacentral:lncRNA from 1 species